rnacentral:misc_RNA from 1 species
GAUGAAGAACGUAGCGAAAUGCGAUAAGUAAUGUGAAUUGCAGAAUUCAGUGAAUCAUCGAAUCUUUGAACGCACAUUGCGCCCGCCAGUAUUCUGGCGGGCAUGCCUGUUCGAGCGUCAUUUCAACCAUCAAGCCCCCCCGGCUUGUGUUGGGGACCUGCGGCUGCCGCAGGCCCUGAAAAGCAGUGGCGGGCUCGCUGUCACACCGAGCGUAGUAGAUCUCAUCUCGCUCAGGGCGUGCUGUGGGUUCCGGCCGUUAAACCACCUUCAUAACCCAAGGUUGACCUCGGAUCAGGUAGGAAGACCCGCUGAACUUAAGCAUAUCAAUAAGCGGAGGA